GUACAAGAAGUCUAGUAAGCCUCGCUUUGUGGUCUUUUGGCUGGCUAAGAGACUCCUUUUAUUGCAUGGUAUAAGGCCAGGAAGACCUGUGAUGCUACAAGCCUCUGACACAUAGCAACUAUAUGACCAGGGGCAAAGUCAGUAUUUAACCUCUCAGUGCCAUAAGCAAUAAAAUAAGAUGAUAAA